AAUUCAAGAGUACGUGAAACCGUUCGGGGGUAAACCUGAGAAACCCGAAAGAUCGAAAGCCGAGAUACAGCGUCCGGCGCCGCGGGAGAGGCGGCGGCGGCGUGCACUUCUCGGCCGGUAGGACGUCGCGACCCGUUGGGAGUAGCCGACGCGCGAAGGGGACGCGCGGGAAGCUCGAGGCGGCGCGGCGGGACUCGUUCCCGUCGUCUUUGCGGCCCCUCGAACCCGUCGCGUUCUCAAAAAGGCGAUCGGCACGCCCGACGCGACAUUCAAACACAGAACGAUGCGUUCGUUCGGCGGUGCGCUUUUGCGGCGCGCCCGACCUCGUCUCGGUCGUUCGUUGUCGUCCAAACGGCGCGCGUUCGACAGGGGCGGGCGUUCUCGGGCGUGUGCGCGCGUUCGCGCGCGUCCACACCGACGUCCGAUCGUCAGCGACGCUUCUGCUUUGGGCCUUUUCAGGACCCGUCUUGAAACACGGACCAAGGAGUCCAACGCGCGCGCGAGUCAAUGGGAGCAAACUUUUAAACCCAAAGGCGAAGCGAAAGCGAAGGACGACGCGGGGCCGGCGGCGAUUCGUCGUCGUCGGCAUUCAGUCGUCCGUCGGGAGGAUGGGUCGUCGCGAUUCGCGCGGCCCCCGCAUCCCAGGGGUCUCCGUCAGGCAUCGGUCGCGCACGGCGUUCGCGCGCCGUCGUACGG
rnacentral:rRNA from 1 species